rnacentral:rRNA from 1 species
GCAUAUCAAUAAGCGGAGGAAAAGAAACCAACAGGGAUUGCUCUAGUAACGGCGAGUGAAGCAGCAAUAGCUCAAAUUUGAAAUCUGGCGUCUUCGACGUCCGAGUUGUAAUUUGUAGAGGAUGCUUCUGAGUGGCCACCGACCUAAGUUCCUUGGAACAGGACGUCAUAGAGGGUGAGAAUCCCGUAUGCGGUCGGAAAGGCGCUCUAUACGUAGCUCCUUCGACAAAUCGAGUUGUUUGGGAAU